AGCUGGUUAGAGCGCUGCAUUCACAUUGCAGAGGUCGCUGGUUCGAUCCCAGCAUCGUCCA
rnacentral:tRNA from 1 species